rnacentral:rRNA from 1 species
CUUCCGGGUAACAUCCCCUGGGGAUUCGUUGCAAGAUUAAACUCAUAGGAUGUACGGGCCCGCACAACCGUGGACAAUAUGUUUAAUUGGAACAACGCGCAGACCGUUCCCACCGUGGACAUGGGUAUCGCGGUUUCCAGAGAUGGAUUCCUUCAGUCGCCUGGAUACCACACAGGUGCUGCAUGGCUGUCGUCAGCUCGUGUCGUGAGAUGUUCGGUUAAGUCCGGCAACGAGCGCAACCCACGUCCUUAGUUGCCAGCAGGUUAAGCUGGGCACUCUAGGGAAACUGCCGAUGAUAAGUCGGAGGAAGGUGUGGAUGACGUCAAGUCCUCAUGGCCCUUACGGGUUGGGCUACACACGUGCUACAAUGGCAGUGACAAUGGGUUAAUCCCAAAAAGCUGUCUCAGUUCGGAUUGGGGUCUGCAACUCGACCCCAUGAAGUCGGAAUCGCUAGUAAUCGCGUAACAGCAUGACGCGGUGAAUACGUUCCCGGGCAUUGUACACACCGCCCGUCACACCAUGGGAGUUGGUUCUACCCGAAGAUGGUGCGCCAACCUGUUCGCAGGGGGCAGCUAGCCACGGUAGGAUCAGCGACUGGGGUGAAGUCGUAACAAGGUAGCCGUAGGGGAACCUGCGGCUG